CACACAGUUUCUUUUGAGUAGUGAAAUACACUACAUACAUAUAUAUGGGGAGGUACUAGCUCCAACUCGGUUUUACAGUGAUUACUGCAUUAACUUCAAUCUGGCUCGAGGAAACAUACUGAGAAAGCAGAGUAAUUAUUUCAAGUGCUACCCCUUCUCUUUAUACUAGAUGAAAGAACGUAUCUUCACAUGCUCAAUUCUGAGAGUAAGUGAGUGUGAAAGCCGUCAAUCACCUAGCUUGUUGGGGAAACACAAUCUUUUUUCAUGGGGAAAAUACACAACCUACUUUUGUAAGGGGAGGUACUAGCCCCAACACGGUUUUACUGUGAAAACUGCAUCAAUUUCAAACCGGCGCUAGGAAAUAUACUGAGAAAGCAGAG